UACGUAGGUGGCAAGCGUUGUCCGGAUUUACUGGGCGUAAAGAGCGCGCAGGCGGUCGUUCAAGUCGCGUGUGAAAGCCCCCGGCUCAACUGGGGAGGGUCACGCGAUACUGAUCGACUCGAAGGCAGGAGAGGGUAGUGGAAUUCCCGGUGUAGUGGUGAAAUGCGUAGAUAUCGGGAGGAACACCAGUGGCGAAGGCGACUACCUGGCCUGUUCUUGACGCUGAAGCGCGAAAGCUAGGGGAGCAAACAGG
rnacentral:rRNA from 1 species